rnacentral:tRNA from 2 species
ACCUGGCUAGCUCAGUCGGUAGAGCAUGAGACUCUUAAUCUCAAGGUCGUGGGUUCAUGCCCCAUGUUGGGCA